ensembl:misc_RNA
ACAAGCUAAGAGAUACAAAGGGAAAAGUGUGACUGCUCUGACAGCAAAAACAAGCAAAUAUCUCCAGAGGGGAUUAAUCCUUCUGCUUCAAAGUAACUAAAACAAAGAAAGCUGAGCCAGCUUCACUGGAAACAACACCUGUCCAUCAGAAAAUGAUGAGUUAAU